rnacentral:sRNA from 1 species
CAGUGCAGAGGCCCUGCGCUGCCACCUCCGGGACCAUGUGAAUGUAUCCAUGGUAGAGGUCACAGAUUUUCCCUUCAAUACCUCGGAAUGGGAGGGUUAUCUGCCCAAGGAGAGCAUUAGGACCAAGGCUGGGCCUUGGGGCAGGUGUGCUGUUGUGUCGUCAGCGGGAUCUCUGAAGUCCUCCCAACUAGGCAGAGAAAUCGAUGAUCAUGACGCAGUCCUGAGGUUUAAUGGGGCACCCACAGCCAACUUCCAACAAGAUGUGGGCACAAAAACUACCAUUCGCCUGAUGAACUCUCAGGUAAAAUUUCUUCUGUGCAGCUAUGGAGUAAGAGAAGGACCACAGUGUGGGCUCUAAUGUGGAAUGUAUCUACUGGGAGCAUAUCUAGGCCGCCAAUUAAGUCUCUUGAUCUUCCUGAGUUCCUGAUUCCUCACUGGAGAAGAAGACAAUGAUUCCAUGACCCAACCUGAUGAUGUGUUUAUUUAAAGAAAAA